rnacentral:rRNA from 1 species
AGAGUUUGAUCAUGGCUCAGAUUGAACGCUGGCGGCAGGCCUAACACAUGCAAGUCGAGCGGUAGCACAGAGAGCUUGCUCUCGGGUGACGAGCGGCGGACGGGUGAGUAAUGUCUGGGAAACUGCCUGAUGGAGGGGAUAACUACUGGAAACGGUAGCUAAUACCGCAUAAUGUCGCAAGACCAAAGUGGGGACCUUCGGGCCUCAUGCCAUCAGAUGUGCCCAGAUGGGAUUAGCUAGUAGGUGGGGUAACGGCUCACCUAGGCGACGAUCCCUAGCUGGUCUGAGAGGAUGACCAGCCACACUGGAACUGAGACACGGUCCAGACUCCUACGGGAGGCAGCAGUGGGGAAUAUUGCACAAUGGGCGCAAGCCUGAUGCAGCCAUGCCGCGUGUGUGAAGAAGGCCUUCGGGUUGUAAAGCACUUUCAGCGGGGAGGAAGGCGAUAAGGUUAAUAACCUUGUCGAUUGACGUUACCCGCAGAAGAAGCACCGGCUAACUCCGUGCCAGCAGCCGCGGUAAUACGGAGGGUGCAAGCGUUAAUCGGAAUUACUGGGCGUAAAGCGCACGCAGGCGGUCUGUCAAGUCGGAUGUGAAAUCCCCGGGCUCAACCUGGGAACUGCAUUCGAAACUGGCAGGCUAGAGUCUUGUAGAGGGGGGUAGAAUUCCGGUGUAGCGGUGAAAUGCGUAGAGAUCUGGAGGAAUACCGGUGGCGAAGGCGGCCCCCCUGGACAAAGACUGACGCUCAGGUGCGAAAGCGUGGGGAGCAAACAGGAUUAGAUACCCUGGUAGUCCACGCCGUAAACGAUGUCGAUUUGGAGGUUGUGCCCUUGAGGCGUGGCUUCCGGAGCUAACGCGUUAAAUCGACCGCCUGGGGAGUACGGCCGCAAGGUUAAAACUCAAAUGAAUUGACGGGGCCCGCACAAGCGGUGGAGCAUGUGGUUUAAUUCGAUGCAACGCGAAGAACCUUACCUGGUCUUGACAUCCACAGAACUUUCCAGAGAUGGAUUGGUGCCUUCGGGAACUGUGAGACAGGUGCUGCAUGGCUGUCGUCAGCUCGUGUUGUGAAAUGUUGGGUUAAGUCCCGCAACGAGCGCAACCCUUAUCCUUUGUUGCCAGCGGUUAGGCCGGGAACUCAAAGGAGACUGCCAGUGAUAAACUGGAGGAAGGUGGGGAUGACGUCAAGUCAUCAUGGCCCUUACGACCAGGGCUACACACGUGCUACAAUGGCAUAUACAAAGAGAAGCGACCUCGCGAGAGCAAGCGGACCUCAUAAAGUAUGUCGUAGUCCGGAUUGAGUCUGCAACUCGACUCCAUGAAGUCGGAAUCGCUAGUAAUCGUAGAUCAGAAUGCUACGGUGAAUACGUUCCCGGGCCUUGUACACACCGCCCGUCACACCAUGGGAGUGGGUUGCAAAAGAAGUAGGUAGCUUAACCUUCGGGAGGGCGCUUACCACUUUGUGAUUCAUGACUGGGGUGAAGUCGUAACAAGGUAACCGUAGGGGAACCUGCGGUUG